GACGAACGCUGGCGGCGUGCUUAACACAUGCAAGUCGAACGGAAAGGCCCUGCUUUUGUGGGGUGCUCGAGUGGCGAACGGGUGAGUAACACGUGAGUAACCUGCCCUUGACUUUGGGAUAACUUCAGGAAACUGGGGCUAAUACCGGAUAGGAGCUCCUGCUGCAUGGUGGGGGUUGGAAAGUUUCGGCGGUUGGGGAUGGACUCGCGGCUUAUCAGCUUGUUGGUGGGGUAGUGGCUUACCGAGGCUUUGACGGGUAGCCGGCCUGAGAGGGUGACCGGCCACAUUGGGACUGAGAUACGGCCCAGACUCCUACGGGAGGCAGCAGUGGGGAAUAUUGCACAAUGGGCGGAAGCCUGAUGCAGCGACGCCGCGUGCGGGAUGACGGCCUUCGGGUUGUAAACCGCUUUCGCCUGUGACGAAGCGUGAGUGACGGUAAUGGGUAAAGAAGCACCGGCUAACUACGUG
rnacentral:rRNA from 1 species